rnacentral:tRNA from 1 species
GGAAUUAUAAUUAAUUAUAAUACUUAAUUUGCAAUUAAGAAGUGCUAAAUAGCUAAUUUUU